rnacentral:lncRNA from 1 species
GUCAAAAUCUUUGGAGCUAACUACAAGCAAAAGAAGCAAAAACAAAAGUGCCAAAACUCGAAGCGAAAAAAUAAAAUUUGUAUACUACCAGCUUACUUCAACAUCUCAUUUUUUGAGGCACUUAAUCAAAUUUUCUACGGCACGAAUUCUACUAGCAUCUGUAUCGGUAACAACUGCAAAAGAAUAUGAAACAAAAUACUGUUAGUUACUUAAUGUAACCUAAAGGAAAGAAGUGAAAGGUUUGAAAAUGAAGGAGAUAACAUACGUGAUAUCUCAACAUUCGAAUUGUGGAAUUUUGUUUGAUUAGUUUCUUUUGAUUGUCUCUUCAUCAGUUAAGCAUCUCAGUAUCCUUCAAACCGUUAUUGCUAAGCGAAUUAAAUAAUUAGUACCUGCCUUUCAUAUGAUUGGAGUUGGAAAAAUAGGCAGCAGAUUGAACUAUCACCACAAGAGUGUCAGGGACCUUUGUAGUUUCUGGAUGCUGUUGUAUAUUGCAGUAAACAAUCCAUCGUAAGAAUAAGAAAUUUGAUAUGCAAUCAAUAAAUUAAAAAGACCACCAUAGAUUUAUGUAAGUUGUAAGUUUACACUUGUAUAUCAAGUUUCCGUCUACCUGAAGCCACAUAUGCAGGAAGAUGUCAUUGAGCUAACUAUGCUAAUUGAUCCCAAGGCUACCAUUUCAUUGUUUCACUUCAACUGGUGUUCAAUGCUACAAAUAUUCUAUCAAUUGUUGUAUCUUCCUAUAAUUCAAGAAGUUUGCAAUAUAUAAAAAGAAAAACUUUCUCUGAAAAGAAUAUUUGGCCACAAAAUGUAAGAAGCAUAACUAACCACUCAGUGCCAUCACACUAGCACAUCAAGCCUCAAUUUUUUUUGAGUUGAACAUCAAUCCUGAAAUUCUUGCACACAUAUUCACUAGUGAAAUAAUUCUCUUCAUCAUGCUUAUUUGCACCCAAACAUAUCAUGCAUUUUGAAAAGUGAAAUGAGGAUAUGACAAAGAUAUUGAUAAUAUGAUCUAUAACACUUGCUCUGGCUAGUCACUGAAAAAGCUUUUACAUUGAUAAGGCAUGUUUAUGCCAUAAAUAAGUCUCUAAAAGUAAAAACCAGAAUUGCUAGCUAAAGUUUAAUCUCUAGGAGUGCUUUACCAUGGCAAAUUAGCUCAAAUCUAUAGGAGUGCUUUACCAUGGGAAAUCAUCUCAAAUCUUUGGUUGAAUAGAGUAAUUAUCUACAACAAUCACCUGAGCAUAGUGCAAAACUUCACGUAAUUUUACUCAUGUUUCUAACCACCUCUGGUACAUAAGGAUGCUAUAGUUUCAAAUAUACAAUAAAAAUGAAGCUUAGAAGUAUGUACCUCAUUCUUCUCAUUUUUUUCUCAUUAGUUUGUCAACUAAUGUGAGAACCAAUAAUUCAGAACCAGCAGUUACCAAACAUCACACAUUGGACUGUGAAUUGUGAUUAUAGCAGUUUAUGAAUAUAAAAAAACUGCUAACUAAUAUCAGGAGCUCAUAUUAAUCUCCUGUAAAAAGAAGGUGUAAAAUCUAAUUCAGAUUUACUUGAUUAAAUAUUAACUAGAGUAUUACAUUAUGAGGAGGCUUCUUUAUAGUACUUGAAAACAAAAGACCCCUCAAUCAUCACAAGAAGGAAAAUAAAAAUUCAAUUCUUAGAUGCCAGACCAUCACUCCCCAAAAUGGACCAAGACCAACUUCCAAAUAAUUCAAAAAAUAAGAACAUAAAUUCAUUGGUUAUUAAACUAGUUGGACAAAGAAAAAGUCCAUUGCAUUGUUUGUCGUACUUCACGAUCUUAAGCACAUAAUCCAUUCAUAGCCAAAAUACAGAAAACCUUAAUCAACUGCAAAUGAUGAAAGAUACCCCAAAUACCACCUAAUACAAAUAUACGAUUUCAUACCAGAGACCUUCCUUUUAAAAAUUACACAUUCAUUUCCCCAAUAAAAUUACUCUUAGAAGGACAAAUUUACGCUUGGACCUUAAAAACAAAGGAAGCCACACAAUAAUUGAACAAAAUAUAACCCUAUAACUGUACUAAUACAUAGAUCCCACAGCAUAUCAAAAACAAUUUCAGGUACGGACUUCUACAUCAGAAAGUAAACAAAGACGAUAUAGAGCAAAAGAAAACAAGAAAGAUCUUAAUAAAGUACGAACCUUUGUUGCCGGGGGAAGAGAGGGAAUUGAGCCCUGCUAAUUUUUGAGUUGAAGAGAGGGAAUUAACUAUACUCUUAGAAAAAGGAGGAAUUUUGCCCGGUU